UUGUUCUUGUUCUUGUUCUUCUUCUUAUUGUUGUUCUUGUUGUUGUUGUUGUUGUUGUUGUUCUUGUUGUUGUUCUUGUUGUUGUUAUUAUUGUUGUUUUUGUUUUUGUUGUUCUUGUUCUUGUUUAGUUUUUGUUGUUCUUGUUGUUCUUGUUUUUCUUGCUAUUGUUAUUGUUGUUGUUCUUGUUCUUGUUCUUGUUCUUGUUCUUGUUCUUGUUCUUGUUGUUG
rnacentral:lncRNA from 1 species